UUUCGGAGAGCAACACUUUAAAGAUUUAUGGUUUGUUUGAUAUUACAGUCUUUAUUUUGAUAAACUGAACAUUUGAAUCAAUGUUUUUUGCUUGUGAGAACUGAUCUGGUGCUUUUUAAUCUUUCAGUACCCGUAUAUUCCAGCUCAUAUUACUAAACCUAAGGAGCAUAAAAAGCUGUUCCUGGUCCAGCUGCAGGAGAAAGCAUUAUUCGCCGUUCCCAAAAAUUAUAAGCUGGUCGCCGCUCCAUUGUUUGAGUUGUAUGACAACGCCCCUGGAUAUGGACCAAUCAUUUCCAGUCUACCACAGCUAUUGAGCAGGUUCAACUUUAUCUACAACUAACCCAAGCAGCGGUGUGGCUGUCUCUGUGAGUGCAGCCAGAGAGGCAUUGUGCUGAAAAAAAGGACUCCAUCUCUUCUCUAUCUUUUACAAAUACAAACACCUGUCAUGAAUGGUAAAUAAAAUAUCUGCAGGGGUGUUAUUGCUAUUGUAAGGAGCAAAACAUUAUGUUCGAGUUGUUUUUUUUUUGUUUUAUUUUUUAAACUUGUGAAACUGCAACUUUUUGUAGUAUGCAGGUCUGUGUCAGAAUCUGGUUUUAUGUUUGCCUGAAAGAUGCCAAUGUUUGAUUAAAAAAAAUACAACAUUGCGUUUCCUGUUGUUUAAACCUGUACCCACGCUGUCUUUUUUAAAAUAAAGUUGUGUUUAUAG